GGCCUGGUGGCGGAGUGGUGACGCAGCGGAUUGCAAAUCCGUGUACACCAGUUCGAUUCUGGUCCAGGCCUCCA
rnacentral:tRNA from 1 species